UGUUGUCAAGUAACUUAUCUGUUAUCAAACAAUGUUGAUUAAAUAAUUCAAGUUGUAAAUAAUAAAUAAUAAAUGAUGUACGAUUAUGUUAUUACGGUACCUAUGAAUGAGUGAUGAUGAAAACCAAACACAGUUUCAAUCAUUUUUUUACAUCAAUAAAUAUACUCCAUAUCUAACCUUGCUCAUUGUACAGCUUCAUUUCAGAGCUACCUAUCUAUCAAUAUUAUUAUCAAUGGAAUUUGCGUCAGCGUUUCCAUUGCCAAAUUCAAUCACAUGUCGAUCAUGUUUUUCUUGUUGGGAUGUAAUGAUAUAUUUUAUUUGUUACCAAAUCAGUGAUUUUCUCUUUUGAUUACUAUCUUCAUUGUAUCUGCAGUCUGCAGGUUUCCUAUUUGCUCAUUCGAUUUGACUACUCAUAUGUAUUAUUAAUACAGUUUGUAAUGACCACUGACAAUCAUUGUACAGUAUAUAUUUAAUCGUAGUGAAAAGUUUUUAUUCGUUAUUUGUACUUAGUAAAAAUUUAAAUAAAACAAAAAAAAUAUUAAUGAAGUGCGCCCAUUUUGUUCUAGAGAAUGUUUGUACGUAACAUUUUGUAUUGAAAUAAUAAUUUCAAAUCAUCAAUAUAUAAUAUUUAUAAUUUGUAAUGUGAAUAUUGUCCAUAGUCAUAAUACUCAUAAGUAAUAAUGUAUUUCAUUAAAUAUUGAAUACUGUCAACAGACGUAUCAAGUAUCAACGAGUAGGUAAUGAAUUUGAUAAAGUGCGUAAACAAAUCAUUGUCUUAUCAUUAAUUAAUUAUCACUAUUUAGCCGAUUUAUCAACACCAAAUUGUUUAUGGUCACGAUCGGGAUUAUAAUAUAUUAUAUUUUGUAUAUCCAUAUUCCAUAGCUAAUAUAUAGUGUAUAUUAAAUAAGUGUUUAAUAUUAUAUACAUAUAUUUAUUGUUUAUGGUAAUUAAUAUUUUUAACUGUUAGCAUGAUGCCUUCGCCAAUUAUCAUUAUAAUUGUUAUAAUUAUUAUUACUAUUAUUUUUAUUUGCUGUAAGUAAUAUUUAUAUGUUGUUCCACUAAAUGAUAUUAGAUAGGUAAACCUUACAUAACGUUUGCCAUAAAAACCCUACCUAUUAAUCUAUUAAUAGUUGAUACCUUGUAAGUAUUGGUUUUUAAAAAUUUUCCCAUGAAUUGUGAUUAAAUUAUUUAAAACAUAGGUACCUAACUUUUUGACUAAAAUGUUUAACUGUCUUCUGCAGUGGUGUAUUUAUGGAGAAAUGAAAGGAAUACAAUUUAUCUAUGUUCAACAACAACCUCCAAAAAAAAGGAAAAAACUUGAUUAUUUUUUUUAUGCAGAUUAUGGAUAUAAAAAUUUCAUAUAAUAGAUAAUAGUAUAAAAAUAUUAUCAUAUAAUUUAAAAAAUUUUUAUUUAAUGAAAAUAUUUACAAUCUGUGGUAGAUUCGAGCAAUAUGCAAAAAUGAUAACUAUUACUAAUAACUAAUAUCCGUAAACAGAAUAUAUUAUUAAUAUAGAUAAUAUUAUGAGGAGGGAUACUAUCCAGUGAACUCGACGUGUUAUAUUAUUUUAUGUUGACUACACAUGACGCCCUCUUUAAUCGGUAGUAUUUACUUUUGAGUUAGUAGGUAGGAUUUAAUUAUUUAAAACUCAAAUGUUCCUAUAAUAUAAAAAAAAAUAUUUAAACAAAAUCCUUUAUAGUUUAUUUAUGAAUAUUAUAAUUGAUACAUUUAUUACGUUAAUAAAAAAAUGAAACAAAAAAUAUUAUUUAAACGUAUAUAAGACUAAGCAGUCACCAUACUAUAUUUAAUAUUUAUCAUUAUGCUUAUGCCAUUAUAGUAUUUAUAUAAGUGUAAUAUCUUAUAUUAUAUUUUGUUGGGAAUUGUUUUCUGCUAUAAGAGAAAACGCUUAUAGUUUAAUCUUUAAUGUUUAAUAUAACAUUAAUUUACAAACCAAAAAGUAGAAAGGCUGCCAAUGAACUGCGUAUUAAAUACGACUAUAUACAAUAAAUAAUAUGAUUUUAAAUGAUAUUUUUACUCAUGCAACUAUGUAAGACUAAUGCUAUACAUAUAAAUAUAUUGUUAUACUAGAUACUAGUUGAAUUAUAGGAAAUUCAAAAGUUUGUUAAAUAAAAUAUGCGACGGGUGGCAAUGAUUAGUUGUCUCCAGUUAAAUGUAUAUGAGGCAAAUGCUCACCUUUGCCGCCCCGCAAUUACGCCACUGUAGUAUAAAAUAUUUUAAUACAUUAUAUUAUGUAAACUAUAUAUUAUGUUGUUAAUAAAUUGCAAUAAUUACAUUGUUAAAAA